GAAAAAAAAAAAUUAUUAAAAGUGAAAGAUAAUGUUGCAAAAUCAACACAACAACAAACAAAUCGAAACAAGCAAAAACAAACUUUAUAUAUAGAUGUUUUCAGGAAACUUCAAGAAUUGUCACUUACACGGAAUAAGACACUCAAAACGGUACACAGAGUAAUCUUGAAAGAAUUUUUGGGAAAAUAAACCUAGUGAUAUUAAAAAAUAAUUACUUGAAAUCGAGUCCUCUCUUCUGCAUAUUGUUGAAAGUGACACAUUGCAUCUAAAACUUUCUUGUGACCACCUGGUACAAGACAGCAAGCACCAAGUAUUUCCAGAACUAAAGAUUCAACAUAAACGUUGGAUGAGAAAAUAACCUUGAAGAAGAAUUUUUCUAUGCACUAUAUAUUUGGCUACUUCUGAUAUUUGGCUACUUCUGUUUGUCACAAACUUGGAGGAAAGUCACGAACAACCACAAAUUUGCUUCGCAAAAGUUUAUUGGCUGGUUUAAAACUAGUGAAGGCCACCCCCAGCCACGUCCCAAUUUUACUAUUUUCGGAUUGAGAGCCACAGUGGAAUCGAGUUUGUUAAAGGAGGUUGUCAAGCUGGACCUUAAAGACAUUUAUCCAGAUUAGCUUCAAACGUCGUAACAAUAUUAGUUAAUAAUGGCGCGGCCAGUGAUUGAGAACAAAUAAACAACGCAAACGAGUUUAAAAUCCUAUGAUAAACAUUACAUUAUUUUCUUCUCUAUUCUAAAGGUUGCUAUUUAAACAAGUCUUACAAAAAACCACUUGGAAAUCACUGCUUCCUAAUCUAGCUUCCUGAUUAUAACUUCAAGACCAACCACAUUCUCGGGACUUUUUAUCCGUCGUCGUCGGCCUAUUUUAGGAGUUACUGGGAGCGAAGUUUCCUUGAAUGUGUUAAAAAGAAAUCUUUAGCCGUCCUUUUGGUUACGUAUCGAACUAUGUUAACGCUACAACUGGAAUGCACAACAUUGAAGCAAGUGACAUUGACCAUCCCAGUGCUUCAGCCCAAUCUGGAUCAAAUUCCACAUGGGACCUUGGUUUUAAACAUUCGUUAAGUCGAACUACUUUCCUUGGUCAUUUUGAGAUUCCAGUUACCGGGAGUUAAAUGUAUGUCUUUUAUCAAUCCACCAAAGUUAAAAAACACACAAAAACACAAGAGUGGCCGUUAUUUGGAGAGAAUACUAUAGUUGGAUCGGAGCGUUGGCAAACGGGUCACACUGUUGAAAGAUGGGACCACCGUUUAAAGUUUGGGCCGUCCGGUUUAUAAACAGAACGCGUUUAAAGAUGGGCCAGGACAGUUUCACUGCGCAUGCUUUUUAUACAGAUAUCAAAGUUAAACAGCAAGUAAUUAAAAAAAAAAACAGUAAAUAUGAAUGAAUAAAUGAACGACUAAAUGAAUGAA